rnacentral:tRNA from 3 species
GGCAAUGUGCCCGAACAGUCAAAGGAUCACUAUGAUAAAGUGAACAUAGAGGUAUAACAACCCUCUCAUUGCCU